rnacentral:rRNA from 1 species
CCGAAUUGGGGAUAACAUUGCGAAAGCGGUGCUAAUACCGAAUAAUAUCACUAGGACCCCGGUCUUGGGGAUCAAAGGUGGCCUCUACACGUAAGCUACCGUUUGGAGAUGAGCCCGCGUACCAUUAGCUAGUUGGUAGGGUAAUGGCCUACCAAGGCUACGAUGGUUAGCUGGUCUGAGAGGAUGAUCAGCCACACUGGAACUGACACACGGUCCAGACUCCUACGGGAGGCAGCAGUGAGGAAUCUUGCGCAAUGGGGGCAACCCUGACGCAGCAACGCCGCGUGGGUGAAGAAGGCCUUCGGGUCGUAAAGCCCUGUCAAGUGGGAAGAACGGCCUCUGGUUGAAUACGCCGGGGGUAUGACUGUACCACUGAAGGAAGCACCGGCUAACUCCGUGCCAGCAGCCGCGGUAAUACGGAGGGUGCAAGCGUUAUUCGGAAUUAUUGGGCGUAAAGGGCGUGUAGGCGGCUAGGUAAGUCAGAUGUGAAAGCCCAGGGCUCAACCCUGGAAGUGCAUUUGAUACUGCUUGGCUUGAGUGCGGGAGAGGAAAGCGGAAUUCCAAGUGUAAAGGUGAAAUUCGUUAGAUAUUGGGAGGAACACCGGUGGGCGUAGCGGCUUUCUGGACCGACCACUGACGCUGAGACGGCGAAAGGCGUGGGGAAGCAAACAGGAUUAGAUACCCUGGUAGUCCACGCGGUAAACGAUGGGCACUAGUGUAGGAGGUUUUAACCCUCCUUGUGCCGCAGCUAACGCAUUAAGUGCCCGCCUGGGGAGUACGGCGCAAGGUUAAACUCAAAGGAAUUGACGGGGGCCCGCACAAGCGGUGGAGCAUGUGGUUUAAUUCGACGCAACGCGAAGAACCUUACCUGGGCUUGACAUCUGGGGAACCCUGUGGAAACACGGGGGUGCGUAGCAAUACGAGCCCCAAGACAGGUGCUGCAUGGCUGUCGUCAGCUCGUGUCGUGAGAUGUUGGGUUAAGUCCCGCAACGAGCGCAACCCUUGUCUUCUAGUUGCCAGCAUUCAGUUGGGCACUCUAAAGAGACUGCCGGUGUUAAACCGGAGGAAGGUGGGGAUGACGUCAAGUCCUCAUGGCCUUUAUGCUCAGGGCUACACACGUGCUACAAUGGGCGGUACAAAGGGUCGCGAACCCGCGAGGGGAAGCUAAUCCCAAAAAGCCGUCCUCAGUUCGGAUCGGAGUCUGCAACUCGACUCCG